AAUCACCAUCAUAAUAAAAAUAAUAUUAGCCUCUCAAUAUUUAAUGAGCAGGCAACAUGGGAUGCAAUAGCUGCGUAGUACUUGUGAGAUGAAUGAGGUCAGACCUUAUCCCUGGGUGGUGGAAUUAUAGAGGUUUUUAUUUCUUUAUUUUUUUAGCUCUUCUUUUUUUUUUUUUUAAAUGUCUACAAUUGCCAUGUGUUAUUGGUGAAAUUUAAAAGUUUAACAAGAAAAAUAGGAAUGAUGAUGGUUUGGUCUGUUAUUUUAGAGAUUGAGGAAACAAUUUUAUAUCUCCAUUUCCUCUGAUUAAGAAAAAGAAAAAGAAAAAAGAAAAGGUGUCCCUCUGACAAGGGACAGUCUAUACUGAGAGCAGGCUAACUUAGCAUUACCUGUGAGAACCACCGAUAAUAGGACGGAUUACUUAAAAACUUGUAAAUAUUUGAUGGAAAGCGGGAUGGCCAUAAAUCUCCAUCCUGAUUCACAAGGAAAACUGGCCCAAAGACAUCCCCCAUUUCAUACUGCUGCAUGAUUCUCUGCUCUUUCUGCUGCAUUCCAGGGGAGACAGAAGGCAGCAGAACCCAGGAAAAUUAGUACUUUCCACUAAAAGGAGGUGAGACGAAGGUAGAGUGGACUCACGCAUGGCAAAGAAAAGACUCCAGGAGUUGUGAUGCCUGUAGAAGUGGGCGGAGGGUUUCACUAACUCAGAAAAUCCUAGAAAGACUAAGGAAGAAAUGCGUAGUCCUGAAGCUUGACAGAAAGUUAGAGUGAAAGUCCCAUUGGGUAACUCCCUUAAAGUGAGAACAGUUAACAAAGCGUGAUCAUUUAGCUGUUAUUUACUCUAGGACAUGCUGUGACAACCUGUUCUGAAGUGGGACAACAUUGAAAAGUCUGAGUCAAUAUUCUCUUAGGUUUGAUUCACUUUGCCUGGAGAACUCCUGGUUCGGCAGCACUUGAGACCCUCCUCCAGGAACAUAUGAGGUGAUACCCCCUUUUGUGAAGUUUGCAAACUCAGACCAUGAUGGAAAGCAAAGGUCAGAUAUCCUAUUCAAAAAUAAGCCUAUUGGGGAGUUUCCAUUGUGGCUCAGCGGAAACGAAUCCGACUAGGAACCAUGAGGUUUUGGGUUCGAUCUCUGGUCUCGCUCAGUGGGUUAAAGAUCCAGUGUUGCCAUGAGCUGUGGUGUAGGCUUCAGACGAGGCUUGGAUCCUGCAUUGCUGUGGCUGUUGCGUAGGCCAGUGGCUACAGCUCCGAUUAGACCCCUAGCCCAGGAAUCUCCACAUGCCACAGUUUCGGCCCUAAAAAGACAAAAAGACAACAACAAAAUGAAACAAAACAAAAACAAACAAACAAAAAAAUAAGCCUAUUAACCACCUCCUCUGCCAUCAUGUACCUCUCCUUCUCCCCCUUCCCACAGCUAAGCAACCUAAUAAAGUGUGCCUGUAGGAUGGAGUUAAUAAAUGUUAGUGACUAGAACAGGAUUUAUUACUAGCUCCACUUACUAGUUGUUUGAACUUUGGGUCUUCUUGUGCAAAGUGGAGAUAAUAACCUCCCAAGUUUGUUGUGAAGAAUUAAACAAAAUAAAGCAUGUGGAGCCCUUGGUGCAGGACCUGACACAUGGUAAGUACUUGCUGAGUAAUGGCCAUUUCUGUUGAUUCCAUUACUCUUUUCAGAAACAACACACUUUAAUCAUGGACUUCUAGGGCUUAACAAUCCAAAGCAUCUAGGUAGAAAUUCCAGAUACCAGAGUUUGCCUAAGCAGAAUGUUAUCUGGGGCAGCCAUAGCUCUUGUUGUACAUGACAUUAUAAUGUCGUGGAAACAGCUGCCUACUCAAAUUACUACUAGAGCUGGUAUUUGGGAUAGAAAGCAUCUACUUUAUAGAAAAUGGGGAUUUACUAUUUGAGCAUUAAUCCUGGUGCAUUUUUCAGUGACUGGAUCAUCUAACAAAAUCAGCGGGCCAUAAGACUAGGUGAAUAAAGAUAUUAUAAUGU
rnacentral:lncRNA from 1 species